UCAGUGUCCAUGGCAGUACGCAAU
rnacentral:piRNA from 1 species